GUGGGUUAAGUGUUUGCCUGCAAUUGAUUCACAUCAGCCCGAUCCUUAUCCAGAGGAGAAGCAGAAUGACAUCAUUCGCAGUAUCAAACAGCUGAAUGACAGAGUUGAUGAACUGCAUCCUUGGACCGUCCCUGAAAGUGUCGGUUCCCAGACAUACCAGGAGAGAGAACAAUGGACGCUGCUGAGAUGAUCAUCCGAAGAAUGGCCAGCUAAACCAGAAGUGUGGGCUUGAACCAAUUACAAGCAGUGGCUGGAGGUAAUGGGCCUUCCAGGAAAGUCACUCGAAGAACUCAAGAGUGCUAAUGACAGACUUGAUGGUGAGGACAAGGGAACCAGGCACCAGAGG